GACGAACGCUGGCGGCGUGCCUAAUACAUGCAAGUUGAGCGAUGAAGAUCGGUGCUUGCACCAAUUUGAAGAGCAGCGAACGGGUGAGUAACGCGUGGGGAAUCUGCCUUUGAGCGGGGGACAACAUUUGGAAACGAAUGCUAAUACCGCAUAACAACUUUAAACAUAAGUUUUAAGUUUGAAAGAUGCAAUUGCAUCACUCAAAGAUGAUCCCGCGUUGUAUUAGCUAGUUGGUGAGGUAAAGGCUCACCAAGGCGAUGAUACAUAGCCGACCUGAGAGGGUGAUCGGCCACAUUGGGACUGAGACACGGCCCAAACUCCUACGGGAGGCAGCAGUAGGGAAUCUUCGGCAAUGGACGAAAGUCUGACCGAGCAACGCCGCGUGAGUGAAGAAGGUUUUCGGAUCGUAAAACUCUGUUGGUAGAGAAGAACGUUGGUGAGAGUGGAAAGCUCAUCAAGUGACGGUAACUACCCAGAAAGGGACGGCUAACUACGUG
rnacentral:rRNA from 1 species